UACGUAGGGUGCAAGCGUUGUCCGGAAUUAUUGGGCGUAAAGAGCUCGUAGGCGGUCUGUCGCGUCGGCUGUGAAAACCCGGGGCUCAACCCCGGGCCUGCAGUCGAUACGGGCAGACUAGAGUGCGGUAGGGGAGACUGGAAUUCCUGGUGUAGCGGUGGAAUGCGCAGAUAUCAGGAGGAACACCGGUGGCGAAGGCGGCCUGCUGGGCAGUUUUGCUGACACUGAGGCGCGACAGCGUGGGGAGCAAACAGG
rnacentral:rRNA from 1 species